GAUUAACGCUGGCGGCGUGCAUAACACAUGCAAGUCGAACGAUGAAACUCAUUAGAUUUCUUCGGAAUGAAAAUGAAUGGAUUAGUGGCGAACGGGUGAGUAACGCGUGAGUAACCUGCCUUACACAAGGGGAUAGCCUCUGGAAACGGAGAAUAAUACCCUAUGAAAUUACAUUCUCGCAUGAGAAAAUAAUCAAAAUGUUUAGUGGUGUAAGAUGGACUUGCGUCUGAUUAGCUAGUUGGUGAGAUAAAAGCUCACCAAGGCAACGAUCAGUAGCCGGCUUGAGAGAGUGUACGGCCACAUUGGGACUGAGACACGGCCCAGACUCCUACGGGAGGCAGCAGUGGGGAAUUUUGCACAAUGGGGGAAACCCUGAUGCAGCGACGCCGCGUGAUUUAGAAGGCCUUCGGGUUGUAAAAAUCUUUUGUAUAGGAAGAAAAUGACAGUACUAUACGAAUAAGGUCCGGCUAAUUACGUGCCAGCAGCCGCGGUAAUACGUAAGGACCGAGCGUUGUCCGGAAUCAUUGGGCGUUAAGGGUACGUAGGCGGGUUUUUAAGUUAGAAGUCAAAGGCUAUAGCUCAACUAUAGUAAGCUUCUGGACUGGGGAACCUUGGUUAAUGGAAAGAAAAAAGGAAUUUCCUAGGGUAGCGGUGGAAUGCGCAUAUAUUACGAGGAGUACCCCUGGCGAAAGGGGACUUUCUGUGCAUUAACUGACACUCAGAUACGAAAACGUGUGGAGCGCACAGGAUUAGAUACCCUGGUAGUUCACGCCGUAAACGAUGAGUGUAGGGUGUCUGGAGUAAAUCUGGGUGCCGCAGCUAACGCAUUAUACACUCCGCCUGGGGAGUACGCACGCAAGUGUGAAACUCAAAGGAAUUGACGGGGACCCGCACAAGCAGCGGAGCAUAUGGUUUAAUUCGAAGCAACGCGAAGAACCUUACCAAGUCUUGACAUAUUUUGGAAGCACUUAGAGAUAAGAGCCUAUAUCUUCGGAUAACUGAAAUACAGGUGGUGCAUGGUUGUCGUCAGCUCGUGUCGUGAGAUGUUGGGUUAAGUCCCAUAACGAGCGCAACCCCUUUUGCUAGUUACCAUCAUUAAGUUGGGGACUCUAGCAAUACUGCCGGUGACAAACCGGAGGAAGGUGGGGAUGACGUCAAAUCAUCAUGCCCUUUAUGACUUGGGCUACACACGUGCUACAAUGGCAGGUACAGAGGGCAGCAAGACAGCGAUGUUAAGCAAAACUCAAAAAGCCUGUCCCAGUUCGGAUUGCACUCUGCAACUCGAGUGCAUGAAGUUGGAGUUGCUAGUAAUCGUGGAUCAGAAUGCCACGGUGAAUGCGUUCCCGGGUCU
rnacentral:rRNA from 1 species